rnacentral:lncRNA from 1 species
AUGCUUCCCAUCUACUGCAAUCUGGUAUUCUCAACUACUCAGAUCUCGGUGAUGAGAAAGGGGACGGCUCGUCGCAGCCCCCACGGUGGCAGGUGGCAGGGGAGAAAGGGGAGUUUUCGUCGGUGGAGCGACAUCGAUCUCGUCAGUAAAACAGACAUAUUAUUGUCUAAUGAUGUUCUGAGACAAGAAACUAACACUGCAGCUUUAAGUGUAGAGAAUGAGGCAAAGCAACUCUAUAUCACUAUAUGUGACUGCUCACAAGAUUGUAAAGAUGGACCCACAGGAGAAGAACUCACAGAGCACAUCAUUUGGUGCAAGGUUUGCAAGAAUAUAUUUAAGAUGACUGGGACACUACCACACUGGGUUUCCAAUGGUAUCAAAGUAAAGUGGUUACAAAUCAUUGUUUCAAGGAAAACGAUAACCGGUAAGACCCAUGUGAAGUACUGCAAGACAAUGGACAAUAUGGCUAUGUUGUUUCAUCGCUAUUCCGCGCACUUGCGCACGGAACAUUGUUUCGAGCACCGCAUGUCAAGCCCAGUGUCCGCAAAAACCGUGUUCGGUUGCCCACGUUCGUGCCAUUGUAGUGGGCUGGAUGAUGACAUGGUGCCGAAGCAAAAUAUGGUGUUCAAAGACUAUGACAGUGUAUAUGAUUUCUAUGAGAAAUAUGCUUACCAUGCUGGGUUUGACAUAAGGAAGAGUAGAACUAAGAAGACUAUAAGAGAAAUAUGUUGCUCCAGGGAGGGGCAUCAUAAAUUUUAUAAAGGCGAUGAAUCUGAACGUGAGCGAAACCAUAGGACAAAGAAAACUGGUUGCAAGGCAUACAUGAAGGUGAAAAAUGUGAUGGUUGAUGGUGAGGUGUCGUCUGUUGUGUACGAUGUUGUUGUGCUUGAGCAUAACCACCCGCUCACGCCCUCUCUAGCAGCGGUAAAGCACAUGAGAUCCCAUAAGCACACGGAUGACACGAUAAUGGAGUUUGUGAACACCAUGCAAGAAAACAGGGUGGCGCAGAACAGCCUAAUUGGAGUGCUUGCUGACAUGCAUGGUGGACAAGAGAACAUCCCAUUCACUUCACGCAAUCUUGAGAAUAGAUUUGUAUCCUGCAUAUGUCAUUUGUCGAUUGAAUUGCAUUAAACAUCCAUAC